AUACAUUAGAUGGACCAAUAUAAUCAAGCAAAAAUCGAAUUAUUUUUAAUAAUGCAAUGAUGAAGAUAAUUCAAUUUUUAGUUGAAUUUACAAAAAUAUGUGAAUUAAAAUAAUGAUAAGUGCUAUGAAUAAGAUAUUAAUUUAUGCAUUAUUUAGCACUUAUCACACCCCCCAACUUACAUUUUGCUAGUCCUCGAGCAAAAUAAAAAAACUAAUUCACUUUCGCAGGAAUCGCGAUUGCAUUUACCAUAUGCAAUAAGGCUUUAAACCCCUAGGUGGCCCUAGUGGACGAGUUUUGUCUCGUGAGGGUUUCCGGCGCAGCUACCCACAAACUGCUGUCGAAAGAAUUUAUUUUAUUGUUUUAUAAAAUCUAAUUUCAAAUGCAUAAGUGCCAAUAAUUUCAAAAG
rnacentral:lncRNA from 1 species